CUGCUCCUCUAUACUUGGGCUCGCAUUUUCUUUCCUUGCUUCAGCUCGAAGGGGACAGAACAAAGAGGCUGACUCGAUGAAUUUUAUGUUGGGUCAGAAGCCGGACCUAUUAUGUGAUGGUGAAUAGAGUCCAGUAGACUCCGAGGAUACGCCAUAUGCAUAUAAAAAUAUGAAGAAAAAUGAUUAGCAAGUGUACAUAAGAAUGGAUUGGCAUUAAUCUUAUGUUGAGCAUACAAACACAAUUAGAUUAAAUAAUUCUGAACAAAGAAGAAGCCAUGGAAUGUUUUGGAAUAUACUAAAUGUACCAUUACAUUUAACAAGAUCCUUUUUACCCGGACAACAGCUAUUAGAUGGAAAACUUAAAAAAAGAUAACUUAUGGGAGAGUUAAUUAUUUUAACUGGAAACAACUUUGAAGCUAUUCAGAAUUUGAUCAAAGAUUAGCUUAAAAAAAAAUCUGGUUUUAAGGGAGAACAAACAAAGAUAUCUGUAAUAACAUGAAAAAAACAAUAUAGUCAGAAACUUAAUAGAAAUCAAGUUGUUCAAGAUUUCCCUCUCAAAACAUAGUGGCAGAGAUCAAAUUUAAAAAAAAAAAAAAUUGUUUUCCUCUUUUUGAACAAAAAUACAGCCAUAUUUUUGCUA